rnacentral:rRNA from 1 species
AUUGAACGCUGGCGGCAGGCUUAACACAUGCAAGUCGAGCGGUAGCACAGAGAGCUUGCUCUCGGGUGACGAGUGGCGGACGGGUGAGUAAUGUCUGGGAAACUGCCCGAUGGAGGGGGAUAACUACUGGAAACGGUAGCUAAUACCGCAUAACGUCGCAAGACCAAAGUGGGGGACCUUCGGGCCUCACACCAUCGGAUGUGCCCAGAUGGGAUUAGCUAGUAGGUGGGGUAAUGGCUCACCUAGGCGACGAUCCCUAGCUGGUCUGAGAGGAUGACCAGCCACACUGGAACUGAGACACGGGCCAGACUCCUACGGGAGGCAGCAGUGGGGAAUAUUGCACAAUGGGCGCAAGCCUGAUGCAGCCAUGCCGCGUGUAUGAAGAAGGCCUUCGGGUUGUAAAGUACUUUCAGCGGGGAGGAAGGCGGUGAAGUUAAUAACUUCACCGAUUGAUGUUACCCGCAGAAGAAGCACCGGCUAACUCCGUGCCAGCAGCCGCGGUAA